rnacentral:rRNA from 1 species
UGGGGAAUAUUGGACAAUGGGCGAAAGCCUGAACCAGCCAUGCCGCGUGUGUGAAGAAGGUCUUCGGAUUGUAAAGCACUUUAAGUUGGGAGGAAGGGCAGUAAGCGAAUACCUUGCUGUUUUGACGUUACCGACAGAAUAAGCACCGGCUAACUCUGUGCCAGCAGCCGCGGUAAUACAGAGGGUGCAAGCGUUAAUCGGAAUUACUGGGCGUAAAGCGCGCGUAGGUGGUUCGUUAAGUUGAAUGUGAAAGCCCCGGGCUCAACCUGGGCACUGCAUCCAAAACUAGCGAGCUAGAGUAGGGCAGAGGGUGGUGGAAUUUCCUGUGUAGCGGUGAAAUGCGUAGAUAUAGGAAGGAACACCAGUGGCGAAGGCGACCACCUGGGCUCAUACUGACACUGAGGUGCGAAAGCGUGGGGAGCAAACAGG